AGCGAACGCUGGCGGCAGGCUUAACACAUGCAAGUCGAACGGGCGUAGCAAUACGUCAGUGGCAGACGGGUGAGUAACGCGUGGGAACGUACCUUUUGGUUCGGAACAACACAGGGAAACUUGUUCUAAUACCGGAUAAGCCCUUACGGGGAAAGAUUUAUCGCCGAAAGAUCGGCCCGCGUCUGAUUAGCUAGUUGGUGAGGUAACGGCUCACCAAGGCGACGAUCAGUAGCUGGUCUGAGAGGAUGAUCAGCCACAUUGGGACUGAGACACGGCCCAAACUCCUACGGGAGGCAGCAGUGGGGAAUAUUGGACAAUGGGCGCAAGCCUGAUCCAGCCAUGCCGCGUGAGUGAUGAAGGCCCUAGGGUUGUAAAGCUCUUUUGUGCGGGAAGAUAAUGACGGUACCGCAAGAAUAAGCCCCGGCUAACUUCGUG
rnacentral:rRNA from 1 species